UUCCACUUCACGACGCGUGCGCGCGUUCUUCCCUUCUCUCUCUGCGCCGCCCGCCGCUCGCCGCCGCCGCCCUACGCCAGUUGCCGUCGCGGAGGCCCUUCGUCAGUCUCUUCGCCGGCGACGAGCACCGGAUUGGGAGUCCCCAAACCCACCAGGACGUCCUUUUGGAGGAUGGUGCCAUCCCACGUGGAGAUGAUAUCUUCUGUGAAUUUGUGAGCGACAAUUUAACUCAGACAAAGUUAGCUGAUGGAAUGUGUGGGUGACACCCCAACUUCCCAGUUUCGUUCCUUUGUAUGAUUCAAAUAUGAAUAUGUAUUCUUUUUUAUGUACGUUAGAAUUAGAAGUACAAAUGUCAUGGAAAACAAAGUGCAAACAUUUCGAAUGUUGUUUUAGCGACGUCAAGGUUAGCAAUACUAUUUUAACAAAGCCACAUGUUUGGGAGUCCUAGAGUAACAAUUUUCUCUGUUUUUUCUUCGAGGAAUUUAAGAGUACAGUUCAUUGUACUUGUUUCA